GGGCCCGUAAAGGUUUCGACGGGGAUUUUGAGGUAUAAUAAGCGGGUAGAGCCGGGCAACCUCUGAAACUGCCUAAACUUAAAAUUAAACGCUAACGAUAAUCACGUUGCAAUGGCUGCCUAAGGGCAGUGCUGUGGCAUAAGCCACCCGUUCCUCCCGAGAGUAUCGCGGCUCGGGACUGAGCGUCAUUUGAGCGGUGAACGUGCAUCGGCGGUUCGCCAUUGAACCGAUCACGCAGAAAAUGGCUACCUGAGGAUGAAGUCUGUCUGUUGACGGCAUCCAAGGGGAAAUCAAAAUAACAGACUGCACCCGGAGAAGGUUAUAUCAAGAGGUUUUCGGACAGGGGUUCGAUUCCCCUCGGGUCCACCA
rnacentral:tmRNA from 1 species